CCUGAAGUCUCACUCCACACUCCAGCUCAGUAGAUGGCAAUAACGUGUUGGUCUGCCAAGCACCGUUCACAUAGAUGAAGAGGUAGCCGGUGUUUGAGAGCUGUCUGCUCCUCCGUGUGUCUCUGUUCGGAAACCUUUUAGUUUUAUAUCCAUUGUAAUCUCUGUUCUCAGGAGUGAGAGACAAGGGGACAAGAGGAGUGUACAAGACUACACAAGCACAGAGGCUGUACUGUUAUCUAUGGACCAGUAAUAAGCACCACUGUCCAGCUGUCUUAAUACUGCAGCAGUUUAUCUGAUUGUGUGUUUGUCUCUGCAUUAUAUACAGUUGUACCUGUAGUGAUAAUAGCCACUGCUUAUGCUAUUUAAAAGCAUAUGCUGGUUGUGUUACAUUGGAUAUUGGUGCAGAAUAUGAUCAGGGAUUAAACCGUGUGGUAAUGCUGUGAAUGAUUCAGCCCCUUAAUGUUGAUUAGCAGUGCUGAGCUCAUGUGCUCUAAACUGUGGGCUAUGUCAGACUGUACUAGAGCUUUUUAGCACAGAUUUCAAGCAGGCCUCCCUCCCUGUUUUCCUCUACUGCGUAUGCCUUGAGCUGGGUUGUGAGUGGCCUUUUUAGGAACUGGUGCCCGAUUGACCUGUAAUUGCAAUGUCCCAUGAUAGUUAUCCUUAGCCACUUCAUAAGGCCCUUUUAUUGAAGAGAUUUCAUCUUUUACUGGUUAUUGUAUUGCCCUGUUUGUAAACCGAGCUUCAGAAAAUAUAGGUAAAAAUAAGUUGUUUAAAUUGUUCCUUUAUUAUUGAACUGGUUUUAGAGACCAGCAGGUUUGACUGCUUAAGUUGAGUAAAUAAGCCGUCCUACAGUAUCAGCCUCAGUCUGUUUUGGUGUACCUAUUCAGUAAAAUUCCAUUUCUCUUUGCCGCAGAGAUUUUGAGUUUUAAUUAGAGGUGCGACAGAUCUGGUCCCGUAUCAGUAUUUGGACCAAUAAAUCACUCAUCGGAUAUUGGACAGUUACCAAUCCAUAUUCCAGUCCGUGUCUUGUGCUGGACCAUGGACCUGCCAUAACAUAACAAAAAGUAACAUGAAAUGUCACGAAUCCAGAUUUCAUUCCACGUCUUAUCAUGAACGCAUGGCAACUUAAGUCUGUAACUGAGUGAGCAAAUAACAUUAACUGUCAGUGACUGAAAUGUCCUUUGGAGAUAUUUUUGCCAGGAAACGGCAAAAAGCAGGGCCACUGCUUGUGAAAGAGUACUAAGACUUCAUUAAGACCUUAAACACAAUACCAACGAUAAUAAUGAUAAUAUUAAGAGCUCUUAUAUUGGAACCAGUAUCAGCAGUUGUGUAUUGGAAUCAGAACUGAAAAAUGUGGGUCAGCCAAUCACUACUUUAGGUUAGAUAGUUUUUCUCCUACUUCAUGCCACUGAAUUUCGGGUUGGAGAUC
ensembl:lncRNA